rnacentral:rRNA from 1 species
UCUUAGACAAUGGGCGCAAGCCUGAUCUAGCCAUGCCGCGUGGACGAUGAAGGCCCUAGGGUUGUAAAGUCCUUUCGCUGGGGAAGAUAAUGACUGUACCCAGUAAAGAAGCCCCGGCUAACUCCGUGCCAGCAGCCGCGGUAAUACGGAGGGGGCUAGCGUUGUUCGGAAUUACUGGGCGUAAAGCGCACGUAGGCGGAUCAGCAAGUUAGGGGUGAAAUCCCGGGGCUCAACCCCGGAACUGCCUUUAAAACUGCAGGUCUAGAGUUCGAGAGAGGUGAGUGGAAUUCCGAGUGUAGAGGUGAAAUUCGUAGAUAUUCGGAGGAACACCAGUGGCGAAGGCGGCUCACUGGCUCGAUACUGACGCUGAGGUGCGAAAGCGUGGGGAGCAAACAGG